rnacentral:rRNA from 1 species
CACGGGAGGCAGCAGUGAGGAAUAUUGGUCAAUGGGCGGGAGCCUGAACCAGCCAAGUCGCGUGAGGGAAGACGGUCCUAUGGAUUGUAAACCUCUUUAGGCGGGGAGCAAUGCCGGGCACGCGUGCCCGGAGGGAGAGUACCCGCAGAAUAAGCAUCGGCUAACUCCGUGCCAGCAGCCGCGGUAAUACGGAGGAUGCGAGCGUUAUCCGGAUUUAUUGGGUUUAAAGGGUGCGUAGGCUGUGAGGUAAGUCAGCGGUGAAAUGCCCCCGCUCAACGGGGUGAAGUGCCAUUGAUACUGCCUUG